AGGGUGUAAACGAUGCGGGCUUGGUGUUGGGGGUCCUUAGUGGGCGCCCAGUGCCGGAGAGAAGUUGUUAAGCCUGCUGCUUGGGGAGUAUGUCCGCAAGGAUGAAACUUAAAGGAAUUGGCGGGGGAGCACCGCAACGGGAGGAGCGUGCGGUUCAAUUGGAUUCAACGCCGGACAACUCACCAGGAGCGACGAUUACAUGAAGGCCAGGCUGAAGACCUUGCUUGACUAGCUG
rnacentral:rRNA from 1 species